AUUGAACGCUGGCGGCAGGCCUAACACAUGCAAGUCGAGCGGGGUUUUCGGACCUAGCGGCGGACGGGUGAGUAAUGCGUAGGAAGCUACCCGAUAGAGGGGGAUACCAGUUGGAAACGACUGUUAAUACCGCAUAAUGUCUACGGACCAAAGUGUGGGACCUUCGGGCCACAUGCUAUCGGAUGCGCCUACGUGGGAUUAGCUAGUUGGUGAGGCAAUGGCUCACCAAGGCGACGAUCCCUAGCUGGUUUGAGAGGAUGAUCAGCCACACUGGAACUGAGACACGGUCCAGACUCCUACGGGAGGCAGCAGUGGGGAAUAUUGGACAAUGGGCGCAAGCCUGAUCCAGCCAUGCCGCGUGUGUGAAGAAGGCCUUCGGGUUGUAAAGCACUUUCAGUAGGGAGGAAGCGUUGUGUGUUAAUAGUACACAGCGUUGACGUUACCUACAGAAGGAGCACCGGCUAACUCUGUGCCAGCCGCCGCCGUAAAAC
rnacentral:rRNA from 1 species